rnacentral:misc_RNA from 1 species
UUAACUCAUCUACAGAAUAUCAUGCUGCUCUGCAAUGUGAAGGAGUUGCUGAGGGGCCUGCAAGUCUCAAUGAUGUGCCUGCUGAGGCUGGGGUUUGCAGUGGUCAUGCAGGAACUGAUGGUCAGUCCAAUAACAAUGUCUUCAUGGAUUCUGGUUUGGUAAUGGGUACUCUAGAUUCUGCAAAUGUUGAUCUUGAUAUGAAUGGUCCUGAUGCUGAAGGAGAUCAGUUAGAGCAGCCUAUUCCUGCUUCUGAACAUGCAGUGGAUGAGCCAUCAUCUAGGCAAGAUACAGUGGUUGCUCAGGAAGCUGAUCAGGCUGACCAAGUUAGUACAAAUAACGAGGCCUCUGGUGCAACUGCAAUUGAUCCAACCUUCUUGGAAGCUCUACCUGAAGAUUUACGGGCAGAAGUUCUAGCUUCUCAGCAAGCUCAAUCUGUUCAACCUCCAACUUAUACGCCACCUCCUGUUGAUGAUAUUGAUCCUGAGUUUUUGGC